GGAAUAUUGCACAAUGGGGGAAACCCUGAUGCAGCAACGCCGCGUGAAGGAUGACGGUUUUCGGAUUGUAAACUUCUUUUCUUAGUGACGAAGACAGUGACGGUAGCUAAGGAAUAAGCAUCGGCUAACUACGUGCCAGCAGCCGCGGUAAUACGUAGGGUGCAAGCGUUAUCCGGAAUUAUUGGGCGUAAAGGGCUCGUAGGCGGUUCGUCGCGUCCGGUGUGAAAGUCCAUCGCUUAACGGUGGAUCUGCGCCGGGUACGGGCGGGCUGGAGUGCGGUAGGGGAGACUGGAAUUCCCGGUGUAACGGUGGAAUGUGUAGAUAUCGGGAAGAACACCAAUGGCGAAGGCAGGUCUCUGGGCCGUUACUGACGCUGAGGAGCGAAAGCGUGGGGAGCGAACAGGAUUAGAUACCCUGGUAGUCCACGCCGUAAACGGUGGAUGCUGGAUGUGGGGCCCGUUCCACGGGUUCCGUGUCGGAGCUAACGCGUUAAGCAUCCCGCCUGGGGAGUACGGCCGCAAGGCUAAAACUCAAAGAAAUUGACGGGGGCCCGCACAAGCGGCGGAGCAUGCGGAUUAAUUCGAUGCAACGCGAAGAACCUUACCUGGGCUUGACAUGUUCCCGACAGCCGUAGAGAUAUGGCCUCCCUUCGGGGCGGGUUCACAGGUGGUGCAUGGUCGUCGUCAGCUCGUGUCGUGAGAUGUUGGGUUAAGUCCCGCAACGAGCGCAACCCUCGCCCUGUGUUGCCAGCGCGUCAUGGUGGGAACUCACGGGGGACCGCCGGGGUCAACUCGGAGGAAGGUGGGGAUGACGUCAGAUCAUCAUGCCCCUUACGUCCAGGGCUUCACGCAUGCUACAAUGGCCGGUACAACGGGAUGCGACACGGCGACGUGGAGCGGAUCCCUGAAAACCGGUCUCAGUUCGGAUUGGAGUCUGCAACCCGACUCCAUGAAGGCGGAGUCGCUAGUAAUCGCGGAUCAGCAACGCCGCGGUGAAUGCGUUCCCGGGCCUUGUACACACCGCCCGUCAAGUCA
rnacentral:rRNA from 1 species